GAUGAACGCUGGCGGCGUGCCUAACACAUGCAAGUCGAACGGAAAAGGGGUGCUUUCGUCUGGUGUCCGAGUGGCGAACGGGUGAGUAACACGUGAGUAACCUGCCUUGGAGGGUGGGAUAACUUCAGGAAACUGGGGCUAAUACCGGAUAGGAGCUGCUGCUGCAUGGGGGGGGUUGGAAAGUAUCGGCGGAUGGGGAUGGACUCGCGGCUAAUUAGCUUGUGGGUGGGGUAGCGGCUAAGCAAGGCUUUGGCGGGUAGCCGGCCUGAGAGGGGGACCGGCCACAUUGGUCCUGAGGUACGCACCAGACUGCUACGUGGGGCAGCAGUGGGGAGUAUUGCACAAUGGGCGGAAGCCUGAUGCAGCGGUCUCGCGUGCGGAAUGACGGCUUUCGGGUUAGAAACCGCUUUCGCCUGUGACGUAGCUUUAGUGACGGUAACGGGUAAAGAAGCACCGGCUAACUACGUG
rnacentral:rRNA from 1 species